GACGAACGCUGGCGGCGUGCUUAACACAUGCAAGUCGAACGGAAAGGCCCUGCUCUUGUGGGGUGCUCGAGUGGCGAACGGGUGAGUAACACGCGAGUAACCUGCCCUUGACUUUGGGAUAACUCCACGAAACUGGGGCUAAUAUCGGAUAGGAGCUCUUGCUGCACGGUGGGGGUUGGAAAGUUUCGGCGGUUGGGGCUGGACUCGCGGCUUAUCAGCUUGUUGGUGGGGUAGUUGCUUACCAAGGCUUUGACGGGUAGCCGGCCUGAGAGGGUGACCGGCCACAUUGGGACUGAGAUACGGACCAGACUCCUACGGGAGGCAGCAGUGGGGAAUAUUGCAGAAUGGGCGGAAGCCUGAUGCAGCAACGCCGCGUGCGGGAUGACGGCCUUCGGGUUGUAAACCGCUUUCGCCUGUGACGAAGCGUGAGUGACGGUAAUGGGUAAAAAAGCACCGGCUAACUACGUG
rnacentral:rRNA from 1 species